AUGUCCAACAAACAUGGCACACAUAUGAAGGUGGGCUCUGAAAUUGACCAGCAAAGGUCAAAUUUACCAAGGGUCAAGGUCAUAUUUGUA